GAUGAACGCUGGCGGCGUGCCUAAUACAUGCAAGUCGAGCGAACGGACGAGAAGCUUGCUUCUCUGAUGUUAGCGGCGGACGGGUGAGUAACACGUGGAUAACCUACCUAUAAGACUUGGAUAACUUCGGGAAACCGGAGCUAAUACCGGAUGAUAUUUUGAACCGCAUGGUUCAAAAGUGAAAGACGGUCCUGCUGUCACUUAUAGAUGGAUCCGCGCUGCAUUAGCUAGUUGGUAAGGUAACGGCUUACCAAGGCAACGAUGCAUAGCCGACCUGAGAGGGUGAGCGGCCACACUGGAACUGAGACACGGUCCAGACUCCUACGGGAGGCAGCAGUAGGGAAUCUUCCGCAAUGGGCGAAAGCCUGACGGAGCAACGCCGCGUGAGUGAUGAAGGUCUUCGGAUCGUAAAACUCUGUUAUUAGGGAAGAACAUAUGUGUAAGUAACUGUGCACAUCUUGACGGUACCUAAUCAGAAAGCCACGGCUAACUACGUG
rnacentral:rRNA from 1 species